rnacentral:lncRNA from 10 species
UGAAGUUCUACAAUCAACCCAUCAGAGAUGCAAAUGAAAGUGCCUCCGCAGAGACAGAAAACCCGCAAUCAAGCAUCAUCGACUCGCAGGGUGAACAAAAUGGUGAUAUCAGAAGAACAGAUGAAGUUACCAUCCACCAAGAAAACGGCACAUGUGGAGAGCCAGGGAGAAGAAUAGAAAGAAAAAGAGACAGAGAUCAGAGACAGACACAGAAAGUGAGAUUGGGGAGAGAGAUAGUGUAAAAGAGAGAGAGAGAGAGAGACCAUAAGAGAAGGGAGACAAAGAGAUAAAAGGUGCGAGUCAUCAGGUGAGGAGAAAGACUGAAAACGAUGAGAAACAGCAACUAAGACACAAAGGAGGUGGGAGACUGCCUGGGUGCCGC